rnacentral:rRNA from 1 species
GAUGAACGCUAGCGGCAGGCUUAAUACAUUCAAGUCAAGGGGGUAGCAAUACAACCGGCGCACGGGUGAGUAACGCGUACACAACAUACCAUAUACUGGGGUAUAGCUUUGGGAAACUGAAGGUAAUCCCCCAUAACAUUGCGAGAGGGCAUCUGAUUGCAAUUAAAGUUUCGGCGGUAUAUGAUUGGUGUGCGUUUGAUUAGCUAGUUGGUAGGGUAACGGCCUACCAAGGCGACGAUCAAUAGCUGGCGUGAGAGCGCGACCAGCCACACUGGAACUGAGACACGGUCCAGACUCCUACGGGAGCAGCAGUAGGGAAUAUUGGACAAUGGGAGGAAACUCUGAUCCAGCCAUGCCGCGUGAUAGAUGAAGGCCCUCU